GUAUAGCUCAAGUGGUAGAGCACAUGCUUAGCAUGCAUGAGGUCCUGGGUUCAAUCUCAGUAC
rnacentral:tRNA from 1 species